rnacentral:rRNA from 1 species
AGAGUUUGAUCCUGGCUCAGAACGAACGCGGCGGCGUGCUUAACACAUGCAAGUCGAACGGGAUCCAGAGCUUGCUCUGGUGAGAGUGGCGCACGGGUGAGUAACGCGUGGAUAACCUGCCCUGGUAUCCGGAAUAACAUCUCGAAAGGGGUGCUAAUACCGGAUAAGCCUACGGAGCCUUCGGUCUCUGCAGGAAAAGGUGGCCUCUACUUAUAAGCUACCGUAUCAGGAUGGGUCCGCGUACCAUUAGCUAGUUGGUGGGGUAAUGGCCUACCAAGGCGACGAUGGUUAGCUGGUCUGAGAGGAUGAUCAGCCACACUGGAACUGAGACACGGUCCAGACUCCUACGGGAGGCAGCAGUGGGGAAUUUUGCGCAAUGGGGGAAACCCUGACGCAGCAACGCCGCGUGAGUGAUGAAGGCUUUCGGGUCGUAAAGCUCUGUCAGAGGGGAAGAAAUGAGAUUGGCUAAUAUCCAAUUUUCUUGACGGUACCCUCAAAGGAAGCACCGGCUAACUCCGUGCCAGCCGCCGCGGUAAUUC